rnacentral:rRNA from 1 species
CAAUAGCGUAUAUUAAAGUUGUUGCAGUUAAAAAGCUCGUAGUUGGAUUUCUGGGAGGGUGACAAUGUCCGUUCUCAAACGAGUGCAGCGGCGCCCUUCCAUCCUUCUGUUAACGCUUCUCCGCAUUGAUUUGCUGGUGGCGGGCUCAGAUAUUUUACCUUGAGAAAAUUAGAGUGUUUCAGGCAGGCUAGGCACGGAAUACAUUAGCAUGGAAUAAUGGAAUAGGACUACGGUCUCUUUGUUGGUUUGAGGGACAGCAGUAAUGAUUAAUAGGGAUAGUUGGGGGCAUUAGUAUUUAAUUGUCAGAGGUGGAAUUCUCAGAUUUGUUAAAGACUAACUUAUGCGAAAGCAUUUGCCAAGGAUGUUUUCAUUAAUCAAGAACGAAAGUUAGGGGAUCGAAGACGAUCAGAUACCAU